rnacentral:rRNA from 1 species
AAUGAACGCUGGCGGCGUGCCUAACACAUGCAAGUCGAAUGUGCCGCAAGGUGCAUGGCAGACGGGUGAGUAACGCGUGGGCAAUCUACCUUUUCGUGGGGAAUAACGAUCCGAAAGGAUUGGUAAUACCGCAUGAGACCGACGGCUGGGAUGCUGUCGGUGAAACCUGGGGACCGCAAGGCCUGGGGCGAGAAGAGGAGCCUGCGUCUGAUUAGCUAGUUGGCGGGGUAGCGGCCCACCAAGGCUUCGAUCAGUAGCCGGCCUGAGAGGGUGAUCGGCCACACUGGAACUGAGACACGGUCCAGACUCCUACGGAGGCAGCAGUGGGGAAUUUUGCGCAAUGGACGAAAGUCUGACGCAGCAACGCCGCGUGGGUGAUGAAGGUCUUCGGAUUGUAAAACCCUGUCGUCGAGGACGAAGGUGGGGGCGUUAAGUAGCGCUUUGGCUUGACGGUACUCGGAGAGGAAGCCCCGGCUAACUCUGUGCCAGCAGCC